UGGGGAAUAUUGCACAAUGGGCGCAAGCCUGAUGCAGCAACGCCGCGUGCGGGAUGACGGCCUUCGGGUUGUAAACCGCUUUAGUAAGGAAGAAGGGGAGCUUGCUCCUUGACGGUACUUGCAGAAAAAGGACCGGCUAACUACGUGCCAGCAGCCGCGGUAAUACGUAGGGUCCGAGCGUUGUCCGGAAUUAUUGGGCGUAAAGAGCUCGUAGGCGGUUUGUCGCGUCCGCUGUGAAAUCCCGGGGCUCAACUCCGGGCCUGCAGUGGGUACGGGCAGACUUGAGUGGUGUAGGGGGAGACGGUGAAUUCCUGGUGUAGCGGUGGAAUGCGCAGAUAUCAGGAGGAACACCGAUGGCGAAGGCAGGUCUCUGGGCACUUACUGACGCUGAGGAGCGAAAGCGUGGGGAGCGAACAGGAUUAGAUACCCUGGUAGUCCACGCCGUAAACGUUGGGCGCUAGAUGUGGGGACCUUUCCACGGUUUCCGUGUCGUAGCUAACGCAUU
rnacentral:rRNA from 1 species